rnacentral:tRNA from 1 species
GCAUCUAUAGCUCAGCUGGAUAGAGCGCUCCCCUCCUAAGGGAGAAGUCGGGGGUUCGAAUCCCUUUAGAUGCGCCA